rnacentral:rRNA from 1 species
GAUGAACGCUAGCGGCAGGCUUAAUACAUGCAAGUCGUGGGGCAGCAUGAGUAGCAAUACUUGAUGGCGACCGGCAAACGGGUGAGGAACACGUACACAACCUUCCUUCAAGCGGGGAAUAGCCCAGAGAAAUUUGGAUUAAUACCCCAUAAUAUAUUUGAUAAGGCAUCUUAUUAAUAUUAAAGCUUCGGCACUUGAUGAUGGGUGUGCGGCUGAUUAGAUAGUUGGCGGGUAACGGCCCACCAAGUCUACGAUCAGUAGCUGAUGUGAGAGCAUGAUCAGCCACACGGGCACUGAGACACGGGCCCGACUCCUACGGGAGGCAGCAG